GAUGAACGCUAGCGGCAGGCUUAAUACAUGCAAGUCAAGGGGGUAGCAAUACAACCAGCGCACGGGUGAGUAACGCGCACACAACAUACCAUAUACUGGGGUAUAGCUUUGGGAAACUGAAGGUAAUCCCCCCAUAACAUUGCGAGAGGGCAUCUGAUUGCAAUUAAAGUUUCGGCGGUAUAUGAUUGGUGUGCGUUUGAUUAGCUAGUUGGUAGGGUAACGGCCUACCAAGGCGACGAUCAAUAGCUGGCGUGAGAGCGCGACCAGCCACACUGGAACUGAGACACGGUCCAGACUCCUACGGGAGGCAGCAGUGGGGAAUAUUGCGCAAUGGGCGAAAGCCUGACGCAGCCACGCCGCGUGAGUGAUGAAGGCCUUCGGGUCGUAAAACUCUGUCGGGAGGGACGAAGGGGCGAACCCUGACGGUACCUCGCAAGAAAGACACCGGCUAACUCUGUGCCAGCAGCCGCGGUAAU
rnacentral:rRNA from 1 species